rnacentral:rRNA from 1 species
ACGAACGCUGGCGGCGUGCUUAACACAUGCAAGUCGAACGGUGAAGCCUUCGGGUGGAUCAGUGGCGAACGGGUGAGUAACACGUGGGCAAUCUGCCCUGCACUCUGGGACAAGCCCUGGAAACGGGGUCUAAUACCGGAUAUUACCUGGGAGGGCAUCUUCCCGGGUGUAAAGCUCCGGCGGUGCAGGAUGAGCCCGCGGCCUAUCAGCUUGUUGGUGGGGUGAUGGCCUACCAAGGCGACGACGGGUAGCCG